CAGAACUCUGCAGAGCCACCACCAGCAAGAAGGUCCUCACCAGAUGCAGCCCCUUGACCUUAGACUUCUCACCUUCAAGAACUGUGGUCUUCAGGGCUGUCUCCAUGAAGUCAUCACCAGCCUUCCCAGGCCAGGACUCUCCAUGCCAUCCUUAGCAAGGAGAAGAAAACAAAUACCCGGCAUCCAUUUCCAGGUCCUGCAUGAUGUGAUGGGAGAGGGGAGAACACUUGUGAAGACACCAAGACACACAGACAGAGGGAAGAUGGCCAUGUGCAGAUGGAGGCAGGGACUGGAC